GGAACCCGGUGCAAGUCCGGGACGGUCCCGCCACUGUGAGCCCCGCCGCUGUUCGCGAGAGCAGGGAGCGAGGUGAGUCAGGAAC
rnacentral:ncRNA from 2 species